GACGAACGCUGGCGGCGCGCUUAACACAUGCAAGUCGAACGGAAAGGCCUGCUUUCCCUUGUGGAUUGCGGGUACUCGAGUGGCGAACGGGUGAGUAACACGUGAGUGAUCUGCCCCCAACUUGGGUAUAAGCCUGGGAAACUGGGUCUAAUUCCCGAUAGGACUGCAGGGUGGUGCCUGUGGUGGAAAACGAUUUUCUAGUGGUUGGGGAUGAGCUCGCGGCCUAUCAGCUUGUUGGUGGGGUAAUGGCCUACCAAGGCGGCGACGGGUAGCCGGCCUGAGAGGGUGGACGGCCACAUUGGGACUGAGAUACGGCCCAGACUCCUACGGGAGGCAGCAGUGGGGAAUAUUGCACAAUGGGCGGAAGCCUGAUGCAGCGACGCCGCGUGGGGGAUGACGGCCUUCGGGCUGUAAACUCCUUUCGACCGCGAGGAAGCCACCUGGUUGGAAGGGUGGUGACGGUAGUGGUAGAAGAAGCACCGACUAACUACGUG
rnacentral:rRNA from 1 species